AUGUAUUAGUGACAGAAUUCAGAAGGAAACAGAUGUUAAAAUCCAAGAAAAACUGUGAAUUAGCAUAUUUCUAUUAAAUUAGGGAUCCAGAGUCUCCCCAGAAAUAUGUGUAAGGUCGGGAUGACUCUAACUCGGUUUAAGAGAUGAUCAGCAGACUUCAGAGAAAACAUUUCCCUUUUCUUCUCUGUUGUCAUGGUACCGACUAGACUCCUUGGCUAGCUGCUCGCUUACUUGGAUGAGUGAAUAAUCGAGUCGGAAGGAGGAGAGCGUCAGGAGAGAGAGCACCAAGGCUGCCCCAACGACUUAAUGAGGGUCAUAGUCAGCAGGAAGGACAGACAGAUGGGGGAGAGUCUGUCCCUUGACAGAAGGUGACAUGUGACAGGAUACAGGGAAACCGAGUUUAAAUCUUGGUAUAUUAAAGACAAGAAAGAGGCCGCCAUUGUCACACAGAUUAUUUUUAAGUCUAAGAGGUAAGAAGGCUUAAAGAACCUGGAAGGUAUAAUAAUGAUAUGGCGGUCACACUAACUUAGAGUUUGGGAGUUAAAAUCAGUUAAGAGGGUGCUUUCAUUAUAUCAUUAAAAUUAUUAUUUCAUUGUAGAGAUGGCUCAGUAGUUAUGAGCAUUUACUGUUAAGUCAUAAUUAUUGGGGCUCUGUUCCCAACACCCAUGUCAGGUGGUUCACAAAUACUGUAACUCUAGCUCCAAGGGAUCCAACACUCUCUUUUAGCCUCUGAGCACACCUGCACACACGUAUGUACAUACACUCAUGCUGACACAAACACAGACAUAUGCAUAUACACAAACAAGUCAAAUAGGAAACCCUUAAAAUAUUUUCAUUAUAUAUGGGAGAAUACAGGAGCCCUAGGAAUUUGAGGGGCUUGGUCCUGAGAAAGCCAGUCAGAGAACCGAGGUGGGUUAAUUUGUGUGAGGAUGGAAGGACAGCCAGUGAGGAUCAGAAGGGGCAUAUGUACCGGAGCGGAGGUAAGAAAGAGCAGGAGAAGGGAUGGGUCUCAGGGAAACGGAGCACAGAAAGAGAGAGCAGACAACCAUGGCCCUAAUCAAUACCAACGACACUGUAGUCACUGGGUGUUGAGUGCAUGUCAGCAUGUCAGGCAUUGUCUUAAGGGUGUUUACACAUGAUAUAUAAUUGUGUGUAUAUGUACAUAUGCAGGUAUAAAUAUAUACAAUUAAAUGUAAUAUAUACAAAUAUGUAUGUGUACAUAUAUAUUUAUACACACAUACACUCAUAUACAUGGAUGCUCUGUGGGUUAGAGGGCUCUAUUUUACAGAAGAAUGAAGGCCAGAGAGGAGGAGCAGUCUGUCUAAGGUCACCCAGUGAGGGGCAGAAGCAGGACACACCCUGCUGUAAACUCAGACUGCGCUGCUCCUCACUGAGGACAGGGGAUGGGGAAACAGCCUGAGACGAUCAUUGCAGAGAUGAGAAAAAGAUGCCACAGGGCAUAAAGGACAACAGAAGGAGCGUGCAAGAACUCUGAUCCCCACCUUCCCUGGUGACAACAUUGCCUGAUACCCCUAUUAUUCUAUUAGUCAUCAAGGGACUUAUGUUGCUAGCCACGUCUGGAAGCCCUUUCGUGUCAAGAAUGCCGAGUCUCUCCUGGGAUUUUAUCCUUGCAUCUUCCAUGGCUGGUCGUUAUGAGGAGCAGCUGAGAUGGACACCAUUCUAACAGGCUUCUCUGAGAAAGACUGAAAAGCACAUGGGACAUCUGGCUUCACUGGACAUCAUGGUGGAGGGACAUCAUCUGUGCUGGAGGGACAUCUCCAUCAUCCAUCUUAAGGUCUCCCCACCCAAAGGAGCUGGCAGGCUCCAGGCAGCGGCUGAAGGCACAGUGAAGGACUCUUUCUUGGAAAGUGAACCAUUGCUGUAAGAGAGAGCUGAACCAUGGCCACCAAAGGGCAUUUUAACAAAUGACUGAUGCAGACACCAUUCUUGGCUACUGUGCACUGGACCAUAGUGGUUCCUGAAGACGGCCAACCCCGCCUGAUUCCCUACUCCCAACAAAUCCUGCUUUGGAGGCCUGUGGUGGUUAACUUUUAUCAACUUGACAUAGUCUAGAAUCAAUCACCUGGGAAGGGAGUCAAGAGGGAUUGUCUAGAUUACAUUGUAAGUCCGUUUCCAGACAAUUCGACAUCGAGAAACAAUCGAAGCCAACCAUGAAGAGGGUGAGGCAUGGCACACGCAUACAGCACAAGCCUCCUAUGACGACAUGAUGGAAUAUAUGGGUAGGGCUGCUUCUGCCUACUGCCCUGAGUCAGCGUGGACCAACCAACCUGCCCACCAAAACCUCUCCUUGCCGGGAAGCUGUGCCCUGAUGCCAGCACAGUGCACAGGUGGGAAGAGAAGAAUGGCAAGGCCUACUGUGUGCAGAUGGCACCCGGGCAUCCCGUGACAGGACCUGACACACUCGUGCGUCAUAGCUCACCU